UUACAGCGAAUUUCUAACAGUAUUGUACUGUAUUUUCAAAAAACAGUGUUAGACUGUAUAUUUACAAAAUAUUUACAGAAUGUCUGUAAAUGUACAGAAUUGUCCUGUUUUCAGCAUGCAAAAUUCAUAAUACAGAAUAAUACUGUAAAAGCAUUGCAUUGUGGGAUUGAUUUCCUUCGCGCUCAAUAUUUGAAUGUAAGCAGAGCUAGUGCUUCGGAAGUUCGGACGCCCUUUAUUUGUUAGGAUUGGUUAUUCAUAUAAACAACGACGAUAUGAAGACAACGCGUUCAACUUUUAAUCUAUAGCUGCCUGUGAUGUGAAAAUGUACACGGAACAAUUAAAAGUUGCACGACGACGCGGCAGAAAUGAGAGGAUUAUGCAGCAAGAAGAUGGGGAGAAUACAAUGUGUCUGUGAUGAAGAUAAACAAAGAUUGACUGAAUGUGCAUCAUUGACACGGUCCGUCUCUAAGCAACCAGCGCUGGAUGUUGAGCAUGGACGGUCAGGUUGUGUGUGAAGGAGAGCAGCGCAACUUUGUCUCUGGUCUUGCAACGCUGAUUGCCUCAUUCUACAAUUUUAACCUCCAGGAUCUGGAAGCGGUGGCAUGCACCCUUGGGUUUGUUCAGAGAUGAUUUCUCUACAUCAACCUGGAACGUGGAUCAAAGAUGAAGAAAGGGAAAAAGAACACUACAGUGAAUCCACAGGUUUCCACUCUUCUUAGAAAACUUACAGACUUUAAAUGCAAUUUUGUUUAGACACUUCCACUAUCCAGUGUAGUUGAAUUAAAAGGAAAUAAAGUUUCCUACAUUGUUAAUGAUGUGCUGUUAAUUGAAAUACAAACGUACAGCUGGCAUUUCAUCCAAUAUGCUUAUGUUAAAGAAUUAAUCCACUUUUAAAAUGAUGCAAAAAAAGAAAGUCAGGAGGGAAAAUACAGUAAAGGAUUAGUCCACUUUCUUAAAGGAGUAGUCCACUUUAAAUAUGGGGUCCAUUGAUUUUCAUAGUAGGAAAAAAGUAAGUCAAUGGGCCCCAUCUUUAAAGUGGACUACUCCUUUAAUAAAAAAUCCUGAUAAUUUACUUACCCCUAAGUCAUCCAAAACGUUUAUGUGUUUCUUUGUUCAGUCAAAAAGAAAUUAAUUUUUUUGUUUGUUUGUUUUUUUGAGUAACACAUUCCAGAAUGUUUCUCCAUAUAGUGGACUUUAAUGGACCUCAACAGUUUACAGUUUAAAUGCAGUUUAAAAGGGUGCAUACAGCUUCAAAGGGCUCUAAACUAGGGCUGCAUGAUAAAUAGCAUGUGAUUGUCAUUGCGCAUCUUGUCAGUAAAGCCGGUUCCUUGAUUAGUAAAUCGCUAUCACCUGCUUUUAGAUGGAGCAGCAUGUACUACACAAAGCCAUAGAUCACUGACAAUCAGGGCAAAAUUUGCAUUAAUAAUAUGUAUGCGAUAUGGCCCUGCUUGUCAGUGAACUACGUCUCUGUCUAGUAAAAGCUUCUAUCGCAUGUGAUUUAUCGUGCAGCCCUACUCUAAACUAUCCAAACUGAUGCAUAAGGGUCUUAACCAGCUAAAAUCAUAACUUUCGGCAAAAAAAAAAAAAAAUGCACUUUUAAUCCACAACUUGCACUAGCCGUGUGAUGCGCCAACGUGACGUCAUGUAAUGCAUAGGCAUGUCGAAAGGUCACGCAUCAUAAAUGUGAAACACACACUUGCAGACCAUUUUAAACAACAAACUGACAUAAAGACAUUAAUUGUUAUCAUUCCACAUACAAUAACGUCUGAACGUUCCUCUUUCUCCACGCUUGUAAACACUGGGGCGGUCGUUUUGCAUGCAUCACGUGUGACUUUUCAACAUGCUUAAGCAUUACGUUAGAUUGCGCUGGUGGGACACAAGGCUAGUGCAAGAUGGGAAGUUAUGGAUUUAUAGUACUUAUUUUUUAUUUUUCUCAAUAAAAAUUAUGAUGGUUUGCUAGAUAAGAUCCUUAUGCCUUGGUUGGGAUCGUUUAGAGCCCUUUAAAGCUGCAUCAAAACAGCUAAUUUUAAACUGCAUUUAAUCUGUAAACUAUUGAGGUCCAAUAAAGUCUUUAAAAUUGAGAAAAAGCAUGGAGUGUUUUCCCUAAAAAACUUAAUUUCUUAUUGACUGAACAAAAAAAGACAUCAACAUUUUGGAUGACACGUGGGUGAGUAAAUUAUCCGGAUUUUUUAUUAAGAAAGUAGAGUAAUCCUUUAAUGUAUUUUCCCUCCUGACUUUCUUUUUUUGCAUCAUUUAAAAUAUUUUGAAACAUUUCCAUUCUUUGAAAGUUAACAAGACCACUUGAUUGUUAAUGUUCUGAUAAUUCAUAACUGUUCUGUCAACUGUUUAUUAAUUGUAAUGCAUACAGCUGACAUUUCAGCAAACAUGUUUAUGUAAAUUUUAUGGCCUUUGCUUUUAAAAAAUAAAGUUUUAUAUUCUAAGAA